rnacentral:rRNA from 1 species
AGCAGCCGCGGUAAUUCCAGCUCCAAUAGCGUAUAUUAAAGUUGUUGCAGUUAAAAAGCUCGUAGUUGAAUUUCGGGGUUAGUAGGUUAGGUCAUGCCUCUGGUAUGUACUGGUCUCACUGAUUCCUCCUUCCUGAUGAACCUUAAUGCCAUUUAUUCGGUGUUUUGGGGAAUUUGGACUGUUACUUUGAAAAAAUUAGAGUGUUUAAAGCAAGCUAACGCUUGAAUACAUUAGCAUGGAAUAAUGAAAUAUGACGUUCGAUCCUAUUUUGUUGGUUUCUAGGAUUGACGUAAUGAUUAAUAGGGAUAGUUGGGGGCAUUAGUAUUCAAUUGUCAGCAGGCGAAAUUCUUGCAUUUAUUGAAGACUAACUACUGCGAAAGCAUUUGCCAAGGAUGUUUUCAUUAAUCAAGAACGAAAGUUAGGGGAUCGACAGACGAUCAGAUACCGUCGUAGUCUUAACCAUAACUAUGCCGACUAGGGAUCGGAUGAUGUUAAUUUUUUAAUGACUCA